CAGCAGGACCGGUGCCCCGAAGGCAUUUCUGUGUGUGUUAACUGCCACCUGCAAAGGGCUGUUGCUGAGCUGAUGCUACUGGAAGAAUGUUGCCACGAAAUCCAUCUGAAGGCAACAGCUCUCUGGCAUAGGAAGUGUUACUGGUGGGAGGGGAGGAAUGAAGUCUGCGCCGCAGCUGUUGUUGGUGAAUCCAUUAUCCUGCCUUCCUUCCCAGCACUUCACCUACGGGAUGAAAAGCCUUGUACUGUUAAGUAAGCAGUGUUGAUCCAGUGGUUUACUGAAGCUGUUGGUGGUUCUGUUGGGAGAGGG
rnacentral:lncRNA from 1 species